rnacentral:rRNA from 1 species
UUGAAAGGGAAACGAUUGAAGUCAGUCGUACCGUCGGGAAAUCAACUUUUUGAGCGCUUGUCGUGGGUGACUUUGAGCUUCGCGGCCUUCGUUGCUUUGCGUUAUGGUGCUUUUGGGGUGUACUUUUCCGUAUGGUAGGUCAAUAUCGAUUUUGAUCGUCAUAAAAUGAUCGGAGGAAUGUGGCUUCGAUCUCGUAUCGGAGUGUUAUAGCCUUUGGUAGAUGUGACGAUUGGGAUCGAGGAUUGCAACGAAUACCCUUUGGGCUAUCCGUCUGACUUCUGAAAGUCGCUCGGGUGUCGAAAGCCUGCUUAUGACAUUCUUAGUUGGCGGUCAAAAGGUUAGAACGCGAUUACAUUCGUUAAGGAUGUUGACGUA